rnacentral:rRNA from 1 species
AGAAUCAACGCUGGCGGCGUGCCUAACACAUGCAAGUCGAACGAGAAAGUGGAGCAAUCCAUGAGUAAAGUGGCGCACGGGUGAGUAACGCGUGACUAACCUACCCUUGAGUGGGGAAUAACUUCGGGAAACCGAGGCUAAUACCGCAUAACACCUACGGGUCAAGGGAGCAAUUCGCUUAAGGAGGGGUCGCGGCAGAUUAGUUAGUUGGCGGGGUAAUGGCCCACCAAGACGGUGAUCUGUA